ACAUGAACUGAACUCAUUUUAAUAUGGUGAAACUAUUCCUUUAAAAAUAUGUUUUCAAAAGAAACAUUUAACAUCUAAUACUCAAAUCCUACAGUAAAAGCAGGUGAGUUUGUUCUACUCUUUUUGUUAAUUUACUGCUGUUUUGUGGUGGAAAACUGAGCAAGUCAACCCUUUUACCCAUACAUAGACAUGCUAGAAAGAUUUUACAAUUAAAUUUUUUUGUUUAGGUUGCAUUCAAUUGCCACUCCCUGUUUCACAAAACAACCUUCCAUUACUCCUGUCACAAGGGGUUUUAUGGCUGAUUUAAAGGACUAUUUUGGUUAUUAUAGGCUAGCGUACUGGGAAUGGUUAGGCUAACUAUAUUGCGGUUAUUAUACACAGUUGCUGAGAGAUGUGUGUAAACCACAGGCCUAGGUAUCCAUUCCUGCUGUUCUCAAGCCUAUUGUUGCAUCUCCCUCCCUGCAGUCUUAGAAACAUGAAGGUUUUAACAAUUACAUUUUUUUUGUUUAGAUUGCAUUCAAUUGCCACUCCCUGUUUCACAAAACAACCUUCCAUUACUCCUGUCACAAGGGGUUUUAUGGCUGAUUUAAAGGACUAUUUUACCAAUGUAAUCUGGUGGUUUUGUUGUUUACAGUCAACACUGUUACUUUAUUUGGCACAUAGGCACUUAGUGUAGUAAUAUUUUUAUUAAAUGUCUUGAGAUGGGAAAACAUGUUUUUUAUGAAGAUGACCAGAAUGUAAAAAUUACGUGAAAUAUUUUUUGGACCAAGUUAAACUAUUUAAAAAUGGGUGGAAUGACCCAUAUAUUUUCAUCAAUAUAUAAUGAAUCAAUAAAUGACCAAAGUGCAUAAAGAUGGCAGAAUUCUGGUAUCACGUCAUUGUUUUAGCACGAUCCACUGAAUUUCUGAAAGGAAGGUGCGCGACAUUGUUCAAUGUUCCAAUAAAUCAACUUUUUCGUUUUUUCUAAUUGCCAGUGUCUUGAAGCUAAAAUUGGGAUCAGGUUUACUUGCUAAUGACCAUACCAAAAAACAGUAAAGGAGAGCAAUGUACAAUACAGUGAACUUAGCAAAACGAGGAAUUUGUGUUCCACUCUGCCCCGGUGUUUUCCUGCAGUCGACCAGACCCUGCAGUAAAGCGGUACCGGGAGGCUUUUGACCUGGGGACUCUGGGAGGGUGGAGGGGAAUGGGCUACCUUUGUCCUGUUGGCCACAAUAAAUAUUAAACAGUUUAUCAUUAAACCAAACAUUUGAUUAA